rnacentral:rRNA from 1 species
UAGCUGUAAAGCAUGCGGGCCAGGUGUCUGGUGUUCCUCGAGAGCACCAGGUGCCGGAGAGAAGUCGUUAAGCCCGCCGCCUGGGAAGUACGGUCGCAAGGCUGAAACUUAAGGRAAUUGGCGGGGGAGCACCACAAGGGGUGGGACCUGCGGUUC